ACACAGGUUCUGGACAGAAGUUUGCCAGGUUGCCAAGCUGUUCUACCUUUCUGGAAUGGUGCAUGGAGAAUAUCAAAACCAAGAAAUCCACAAUCUGGGCUGUUUUAUUACAGUUACGAAGUUUAGGCCUCUCACAUGGCAAACUUCUCACCCUUAUAUCCUGGCAGACAGGAUGGAAGAUUUGACAAACCCGGAGGAUAUCUGAACACGCAUCAAAUGUGACCGGCAGGUGUCACUUUAUGGUUAUUUAAGAGGAGCGCACUUGAAAAAUAAAAGCCAAAUUCACAUGCCAGGACGAGGUGGGGCCCAGCCAUGAGCUGGUCCAGAGUCUCAUCUCCACCUACUCCACCAUUGAUGCCAAGAUGGCUUCAAGUCGAGUGAUGCUGUUUUCCGAUUCCAAACCAUUUGGGUCAGAGGCUGUAGAUAAUCAAGGAGAUGGCUUUAGAUUCCCUGUUCUGUGUGCUCCUGUCUGGCUCCUGAACCCAGCUGGAGAUGUGUGUCAAUCCCAACUGGUGAAGUACUGAGAGGAAGCUACACAAAAGACAGCAAGGCAUUAAUAAGGGUACCUCUGACAUUUUAACCCUCUCUGACUUUUCCAUGGAAUGGACAAGUAGUAGUCUCUGUCAGAGCUAUGUUUUAAAGGAAAAAAAGAAACUUGAAGUCGUAAACUGUUUAUUAAUUUAUGCUGUUACUUUGUGUUUACUCAACUCAUUUAUAUUGACUUGUAAAUUAGUAAUUUAUGAACUACUAUUCAUCAAUUCAUUGCCUACAUGUCAGCAAACAAGUUUUCUUCUUAAUAAAGAAUCCAGUGGCUGGGCACAAUGGUUCACACCUGUAAUCUCAGCAUGUUGGGAGGGCAAGGCAAGAGGAUUCCUUGAGGCCAGGAGUUCAAGACCAGCCUGGGCAACAUAGCAAGAUUUCAUCUCUACAAAAAAAAUGAAAACAUUGGCUGGGCAUGGUGGCUCAUUCCUGUAGUUCAGGCUACUCAGGAGCCUGAGGUAGGAGGAUCACUUGAACCCAGGAGUUUGAGGCUGCAGUGAGCUAUGAUCCUAACACUGCUCUCCAGCCUGGGUGACACACCAAGACACCAUGUCUUCAAAAAAGGAAUCUAGGGGCAUCAGUGUGUGCACACAGCAUGACUUGUGAAUGCGGAAGUGCCUGUGUGCAUAGUUGUGCUCAAGAAUGUGCUGAUGAUUAUACCUAAUUAGAAUUAAAAUUUUUUUUUUUUUUUUUUUUGAGAUGGGGUCUUGCUCUGUCACCAGACUGGAGUGCAGUGGCGCUAUCUCAGCUCACUGCAACCUCUGCCUCCCAGGUUCAAGUGAUUCUCCUGCCUCAGCCUCCCGAGUAGCUGGGACUACAGGCAGACACCACCACUCCUGGCUAAUUUUUUGUAUUUUAGUAGAGACGCAGUUUCACCAUGUGGGCCAGGAUAGUCUUUAUCCCCUGACCUCGUGAUCUGCCCACCUGGGCCUCCCAAAAUGCUGGGAUUACAGGUGUGAGCCACUGUGCCUGGCCUGAAGGUCACUUUUAUAAAGAUCUCUCUACGUCUUAGAUUUGAUUCUUCCUUUAAAUAUUUUUCUCAUUGACAUUUGAAAGCACCUGACCAUAUAUCAAAUGAAGAAUUUUCAUAACUCCAUAAAAGGAGAAUUAUGACAUCAUCUACUGUUUCUUUCUCGUCUCUAAAUCUAAACCAUCAACCUGCUAAUUUUUGUAUACUGUCACAUUGUGUAUUCCCUGCAUUGAAUGCCUUUCUAUUGCCAUUGUCUAUAAAAAUUGUGGGAAGUUUUCUGCACCCUAAAUUUUCUGUUAUGGGGAUUAAAUAUCCACUAUCCAAUUUUUUUCCAAGUCUUAGAGCAGAAAGGGUAAAUACAGCCCUCACAGCAGCCUGUUGUUUGUCCUGCAAUUGUGUUUCCAUCACAUUACACAAAGCCUCUUUGUCUUCGUGGUGGUACCCUACUAAUAAGUUUUUUUUAAUUAUGUAAUGUGUGUAUAUACAAAUACCUAUAUGUAUGUGUGUACACAUACAGCUGAUAUCUACUGAGAUUAUGUAUGCAUGAACUAUAGAAUUAGCUUUUAAUUUUAAGAAAAUAAAUUAUUUUGUAAAGAUAAAUCUCAUGUUUAAGAAGGGGAAUUACGAUUGAAUCAUUUAGGGAUGCCUCAGCCUAAACAUAAUAUGGAAAAAGCCAUAAUCAAAAGUCAUUUUAGAGUACUGCUAGGUUACUCAACCUAUCAUCACAUUUAAUUAAAAUGUCAGUUUGAACCAUGGCCAGUCUAUUUUCGUUAAUAUGUUAUUUAAAUCAACUUGUGAAGUCUUCAUUUUAAAUAUAGAAUUUGUGUUAAUGAACUGGAAAAUAACAUUCAAUUGCUUGGAAGAUGUGUUAAAGCCUAAAGAUUUAUGACUUUGUAAAAGAAGAAAACCAGCUGGUGAUCAGUUGGCAUUAGUACAUGAGGAUGUACUCAUAUUUGGUAAUAGCCAUUUUUUUCUAACUAGAGUAAGGGAGUUGGGAAUGGGAGGCAGAAACAAGGACACAGAUAUAUAAAAAAUCGUAGAACAAAACUGUAUUGAGUUCUGAGUAUGGGUCUGUGAUCCAUGGUUCAGUUUGAGAGGUUCGUGUGUCCCUUAUGAGAAGGGACAGGAAAGCCAGGAGGACAGGAGUAUGUUUGGGCCUGUGCCUGUGCUUCCACCACAGAAGUCAGCAGCUCUACCUUUCUCUUUUCUCCUCUUUAUCUAAUAAUUGUCUCCUCUUCAAAUUUGGGAAAUGAGCUUAAUCAAAGAUUUGUUGUGUUUUUUGUUUGUUUGUUUUUGAAAUGUGGCCUCAGUGUGUUUGCCCAGGCUGAUCUUAAACUCCUGGGCUCAAGUGAUCCUCCCCCUCAGCCUCCUGAGUAGCUGGGACUACAGGCAUGUGCCACCACACCCAGCUAAGUUAGUGCUAAUGUAUAGUUUAUCUGCUUCAAUUUUGAAGGGCAGGAUAUAUAUAUAUAUAGUUACGUGUGUGUGAGUUUGUGGUGGGGGGGUAGUGUGUGUGUGUGUGUUUAUAUAUAUAUUUAUAUAUUACUAGUCCAUUGCUGCUACAACAAACUACCACCAUGUCAGGGUGUAAAACAAAUUUAUUACACUCCUGUAUGCCAGAGUGUGAUGUGGAUCUCACUGGGCUAAAAUCUAGGUGUUGGAAAGGCUACCUUCAUCUCUAGAGGCUGUAGAGGAUCUUUUUUCUCACCUUUUCCACAUUCUGGAGUCUGCCUGCAUUUUUUGGCUUUGGGCUUUUCUCCACUCUCACCAUUAGCAGCCUUGCGUCUCAUGGACCCAUCUUCUAUGGCCACAUGUCUCUGUGGCUCUUUCCUUCCCCCUUCUCUUCCACUGUUAAGGACUCAUGUGCUUCCUUAGUCCUGAAUGGAGGCACCGUCAUCAUCCACAUGAGCCCACUGUCCUAAUCCAUACAGGCUGCUACAAGGAAAUGCAUUAGACCAGGUAGCUUAUAAAUAACAGAACUUUGUUUCUCACAGCUCUGGAGGCUGAGAAGUGCAAGAUCCAGGUGGCGGCAGUUUUGGUGUCUGGUGAAGGCUUGCUUUCUCAUAGAGGUUUCCUUCUUGCUGUGUCUUCACAUGGUGAGAGGAACAAACAAGCUCCCUUGUGCCUUUAAUAAGGAUGCUAACCCCAGUCAUGAGGGCAGAGUCUCCCGUAAGGCUUAACCUCCUAAUACCAUCACCUUGAGGGUUAGGAUUUUAACACAUGAACAUUGACGGAACACAGCGUUCAUUCCACAGCACCAGGGUAGUCUCCUCAUGUCAGGGUCUUUACCUGAAUCACAUGCAUGAUGUACCGUUUUCAUGUAAGGUUCUAGGAAUCUGUGGACGCCUUUGGGGGGCCAUUAUUUUGCUGAUCACAUAUUACAUAUAUUUUAAUAUUCUAGACUAGUAUGAAAACAAUGCUACUUCCAUUGCUUUAUAUAUGUAUAUAUAUACACAUUGUCUAAUGCUAUAAUUAAAAAAAAAGUUGUAGACACAAAUAUACCCAUUU